rnacentral:pre_miRNA from 1 species
ACCACCUGGAGAUCUUGUUAAAAUGCAGAUUCUCAUUCAGUAGAUCUGGGGUGAGGCCUGGGGUUCUGCAUUUCUAAGAAGCUUCCAGGUGAUGCUGA